UGGACUUGCCACACGGUACCGCGGGUUCCCCCCUUACCGGGGGGGUGACAGCCUCUACAGCCGCACCCAGCGUGAUCACCCACCAAGAGCACGUCACAGUGUCACAACACCCAUCCCACCCAUCAGGCCACGGCCUCCCCACCCCUGUGGUGAGGAGACACCACAGACCUCCUCCCAUGACCGUGAGCAUCCCAGGUGACGGGAACAUGGACGUACACGCACACCUCCUCCAGCAAGCUAGUUAACAGGCGCCGCGAGCUUUCGGAGACACCGGACAGAACCCGGAGACGCCGACUCUGACCGCGUGCAGUUUCCAGAGUGUUUCCAUCCUGUGGCGCCUCCGCAGCCAUGCCAAUCUACAUCCUAAAAAGUGGCCGGGACUUGACUCGCGCUCGUCUGGUCUGAAGGCGUUUUCAGAACUCACUAUUCUAAUUGUUAGGAAUCAUCUUCUCAUUUCCAGCUUAAUUUGAUGCACGGCUGGUUAAUAAACAUUUGUUCCUGUGCCAGCAUUGUAA